GGCCUGAGUUCCGGUUCCGCGUGAGUUGUGCGCGCGCGUGCGCUUUCGGCUGCAGGAGGGUCUGGUGGAAGGUUUGCCUUGCGCGGGCGGCGGGGCUCUCGAGGCAGCGCGGGGGGGGGCGGAGGGCGGGGUGUGCGGCCUUCCCUUUUCUCUCCACGCGCUUCUCCAUAGGACGUGGACGGGGCUGCUAGCAAGAGCUUAGCCUUACUAAAUAGUCAGGGUGUGCCGGACCAGGACCUGGGUUCGAAUUCCGCACUCGGCCAUUAUGCUCACCUGGGGUGGCCCUAGCGGGGCCGGACGCUACCUCUCUCAGCCCAGCCUAAACUACCUCGCAGGGUUGUCGUGGGGAUUGGGUGAGAAGGGGGAGAGCCAUGCAUGCCACUUCGAAUUCCUUGUUGGAGAAAAGGGGUAUAAAUGCAGUAAAUUAAUAUUAUCGCCUCCCCCCCCCCGCCGCCAAAAUAGUAUUUUCUUCAUUGCAUUACUCCUACAGUUAACAGUACACGGAAGUUUACUUCACAGGGGUGACCAUUUGGACUUUCAGCAAGACUGCCUUGCCUCUGGUAGAUUGAUUAGUGGCAGCAUGUAGAUCUUCUGCUCUUGUGGGUAAGAAUGUAAAAAGAUUGGGCCCAGUGGCCCAUCUGGUCCAACAUCCUGUUCUCGCAGUGGCCAGCAAGAUGCCUGUGGGAAACCUGCAAACCAGACCUGAGCACAGGAGCACUCCUAUGGUUUCCAGCAGCUGGGACUCAGAAGCAUUACUGCCUGGGAUGGUGAAGGUGAAAUCUUUAUUGGAACAUGUAUUUAUGUAUGGGUCUGUCUGCUUUACUUGAUUUUGGGUGCAGUGAUGACUUACCUGAAAGAGCGCCAUUAAGGGAGCUAAAAAGGAAAUACAACAUGGAGUCAGUGAUGACUCUCUCUGGAAUAAAGGUUUUAAGAAGGGGACUUGAGAAAAUGCAGCAGAGUAGGUGGGAAGUCCCAUGGCUCCAGAUAACAGGGAGAUUGUAGAAAUUGAGUACUUGGAAAGUAAAGGGAGUUGGGUGGUGUGGCUGGGAAUUGGGUCGUACCACUUGCUCCACCUUUCUGUCUUUGGUCUUCUGGCAGAAGCCAAAUUUUAGGGGAAGUAAGAGGUUUUGAACUAGCUAGAAGAUACUUAGAGGGUAAAAAUCCAGUUGAGAAAGCAAGACAAUGGGAAUUAUGUAUGCAAGUAAUUCUUAAAUUAUAAUAUUCAAUAUUUGAUAUUCAUUGGAGAAAUGAUAACCUAUUAUGGGAAGGACCAAGCUACUUUUGAUGGAUCCAGAUUACAUAAAGUGCUUCCCUCUCAGACGAAUCCUGUCACUCAGGUGGACCCAAAUAUACUUUAGAACAGGCUUCCUCAACCUCGGCCCUUCAGAUGUUUUGAGACUACAAUUCCCAUCAUCUCUGACCACUGGUCCUGCUAGUUGGGGAUCAUGGGAGUUGUAGGCCAAAAACACCUGGAGGGCCGAGAUUGAGGAAGCCUGUUUUAGAAUACUGAGUGAGUGGGCCCUUCACCCUUGGUAAUGGAAAGGAAACAAUCUGUAUACUGUACUUUUUAUUAUUGGUGCUUUAAUUCCUAAAAGGUAAAUAUUUUUGCCAAUGUUCAUGCUUUUCUCAUACUGCAACUUUUUUUAUAUGUAGUAGUGGAACCAUCCCCAAGAUAAAAGCUAUUUAUAUUUGGACAAGUUGACUACCAUUUUGGAAGUACUGCGUUUUUUCCCCCCUUGAGGUAAGACAUUUGUUGUGAAAACACACCAAAAUGAGUAUUUGCUGCUUGGUAUAAAGCCCAUGGGCUGGGAAAUGGUUGCUGCGUAGCUGGGCCUGCUGUGGUCCUGCCUUGUACCAGCUAGCCUGACCUUGCCCUAGAUGAAAACCUGGCAGCCUUCUUUUUGGGGUCUGCCCUGUGCAGUAACAGGUGUGAGCAUUCUAGCAGCAGCUUGAUGGUCAUGUAUGAUACUGCAUACAGAUCUGUUGCGACAUGCAGAGAAAACCCAGACUGCAUUCUGUUCUGUCAAGUGUCUAAUUAAGGGUGGAGGCAAAACUGAGUAACUGCUGGAUUUUAUAUUCCCAAAAAUUGCGGGAGGGAGGAGACAGGCAGCCAUUAUGUGUUCAUCCAUCUCAGCAGCCUUUGGUUCAACCUGAAACUUGCAUAGUGCCUGACAUAACAUCAUUUGAAUGUCUGCUACCUCCUCCCAUAUUCCAUCUAAAGAUUGUAAUGUAGAUUCCAUGGCUUCACGAUCUGCAAACUUUUUCUUACUUUCCCUUUCCCCCCUACCCACUUUAUCAUGUAGCCCAGGGAUAGACAACAUGGUGUUCUCCAGAUGUGUCGGAGCCAGCCGUUACAAAUGGCGAAGUUUUGCAUAAAAUAAAGACACAGAGAGCCAGCAAUAUUUUCAUGAUGGUAGGAGCAGCUCCUUUUUCCACUUCCCUCUCCUCCUGCAGCUACUUUUAUUAUCCUUUGUCUCUCUCUCCAGCCGCAUGGCUGUUUGCCAAUGUCUCACGUUACCUCAUCCGGUCAAGGCUUUUAUUGCCCCCUUCACCAUAUAGGGUCAAUCACUGCCCAGAGGAAACACAACUGCAUUUAAGUCAAUACAUUCCAAUACAUUGUAAAGCUCAGAGUGCUGGUCAGCCGAGGUCAGGGGGCACCCUGCAAUAUUACAAGCCUUUACCGUGGCUUUAUGACUCCCACACAGAUGCUGUUCUGACCAUCAGCUCACAUCAUUCCUGGCCUUUGGCCAUGCUGGUUGGCACUGAUGGGAGUUGGGAGUCCAACAACAUCUGCAGGGCAUCAGCUUGGUUAUCUAUGAUCUGUAGACCAGGGUUCGGCAACCUAAAGCCCAUGGGCCGGAAGCAGCCCACGGUGGCCUUUUAACCGGCCCACGAACCACCCCUGAACUGAGCCGCCUGCUCAGCGAGUCCCCACGCACUGCGCUAAACCAGUGGCGCAGGGACACCAAUAAAUUAAAUUAAAGGACAUAGACAUACUGCUUGUGGUUUCUAACUUAGUCUCUAACUUCCACAUUCUACUUGGUCCUGGGUGUGUGCCAUUGAUUUGUCACACUGUUUAAAUUCUGUAGCUGUUUAAAUUGUUAUAGGGCCACCAUUGCUAGAUAUGGUGUGUCUGAAAGAUGCAAGCAACCAUCCUGUGAUAUGAAGUCUGUUUGUUUCCUGACAAUUCUUGAUACCAGGGUGGGCCCUUUUAAAAUUCCAAGAAUCGUCAUGCUAAAUAGCGAAGCAGAGUUCUAAUAUGCCUGUAGCUGAUCUAUUAACCAUUUCAUUUAAAAGUUUAGAAACAUCUUCUUGUACAAUGAACUUUGAUCAUAUUAAAAAUGACACCAUGACAGUGACUAUCAAAUAUUUCUUGUAGGUACUGAUGGACCAAAAACAGUACAGAAAAGGAUUCUCAUAGGUAAGUAUGACUUAUUUGAGAUCUACCUUAGAGGCAUGCAGGGGGACCUGUUGCGUAUUAGGCCAUAUGCCAGAGAUGCAAAUUGUAUAUUUCUAUUGUACAGUAGGCCUUGGAGAGGGAAAAAGAUUGACUAGGGACACCAGAUCUCAUUUGUGCAUUGUCACCUGCCUUAUUGGUCCCUCUGUGUGUUCUUGUUUUUAUUAAUUAGCAAGCCAUUGUGCCUCUCAUCAGUGGAAGCUCAGUGCUUGAAAUAUGCCUGCUUUAAUAAUUUGUCCUAAUAUUCCAUACUUAGCAGAAGCCACUGUCCCUGUCAUUUUGAAACAUGAUUUGGAUUGUCUUCUUACUUACAUUUCAAAAUAAACUUGGUGUAACUUAAAGAGUAAAUCAGCCAGCAGCAAAUACGUUUUGAGUAUACAGAAUAGGUGUUGGGAUUAUCGCCUCAUUUAAGGUUGCUGAUUAAUUCUCACAAUGGGGAAUUGCUGCAACUGCUUGGUGGGCAGCAGUUCACCAGGUAAGGCGUCUGGAGGCCUGAAAACAGAGAUAGGGAAGGCUUCAGUGCCUGACUAUCUGGGGUGCUCAUUGGACUGGGACCAACUGAUGGAAUAAUAAAAACCUGUCAGUACAAGUAUUCCAAGCCUGAACAUGAGAACUGCAACUAUUGGCAUGCUUUCCAAGUUGCUUUCUGGCCUCAAGGGGAGAAAAUUGUGUUCUUUUGUGUUGCUAAACUGGGCCUUCAUCUCCUGUAGGCAUGGAGUAGCUUGAGCUCUGCACUCUGUUAUUCCACAGGUAGCGUAUUAGUUUUGGUUACCUUUGUUCAUGGAGUGCUAAACUAUCAGGCCACCUUGGCACAGGGAGCCCUUGUGUGCAGUUUUGGAACUCCUCUGUAAAGGUGGCCGACAUCAUUCCCUCAAAGUUGCAACACUUAGGAUCUGUCCCAAGAGUGUCUUUGAACUUUAAAAGCUGUACUCAGGCAUCUCAUUCUCUGUACUUAAGUCUCAUACCAGGCUGGGGAGCUUUAGGUUCAGAGUGGUAUUCAACUACAUUUUACUCAGAGUAGACUAACCUGGUCGUGUUCAUUUCAACGAGUAAAACUUAGUUGAACACAACUCUUAAAUCCUCACCAAACCAUGAAGCUCACUGAGUAAUCUUGGGCUAUUUGCCAUCUCCCCUUAAUUCACUAUAUACAUGUGAUGAAUCAUUGUUUUGGGCUUGUAAAUUUCCAGCUAUUAGGCAAGCAUGGAUCUGGGACAUAUUCAGAAAUGCAGAGGAUUGUGAGUAACUCCUUCUGUUACUCACAAAUAAAACACUGGCAAAUAAAGAGAAUCUCCGGUUUUAAUUCGGAAAUAAGUGGAUCUCUUCUAUUGGAAAUUAUGGGGAAACACUAGCUUCUGAUUUUAUAUGUGAAGCUUCUGGCUUGACUUUUCCUUGCCAUAAUGACCGUUAUAACUUUUACAUUCCAGGUAAGUGCUGUUGGAAGAGCAGUGCUCAGGUUCUGCAGAGGAAAGGGUUGUCAAAAUUCUGCUUUGUUCUCGUGUGUCAUUCUGGUUUGUGUAAAGUCACUUCAUUAAAAUCAGAUGUUCUAUCCUAACUGUGGCUUGAGUGUUAAUGUCCUGCAGAAGGCACCCUUCUCAAAAUAUUUAUUUUUGUCUACCUGUUGCUAAAGAGAAAUGCUCCUAUCUUCAUUAUCCCUG